GAAAACAAAUAUAGGGUGCGAGGCUGGCAAACAUCAGGGGUGCGUAAAGAAAUACACAAAUAGUCCAUCACAAAUAAUGGAGGUGCAAAGAUAAAAAAUGGGGGUGCACAAGUAAAUAACAUGGUCAGACCCAAUUUCUACUCAAACUAAACCUAAUUAAAAUUAAAGCUCUCCUUUACCCAUGGCAGCCGUCUCUUCUCGUUUCUCUCUUCUCGUUUUCCAGCAGCCACCAUGACUCCAACGGUUGAGACAUGCGCUCACCUUUUAGCCACCACCAACGACACUAGCCUCCACCGGAGGCCUCACUGGCGACGCUGUCGCCACUCGCCGCUCCUCGCGCAACGCUCCUACGCCGUGAACAUCGUCUCCUCGUUUCUCCAGCACAUUCGAGAUAGCAACUCGCCACCACCGCACCAGCCAUCGCAACUGGGUCACGCGAACACCACAGAAACCGCCACCUGGCCGUCGCGACCCAAACCACCACCAUGAAUGUCACUGCUGCUGCAACUAGAGUGCGUCGACACAGCAUCUACCAUCACCACCAUUAAUGUCGCCGCUACCGCGACCUAUGCGCGUCACUAGUAGUGCCAACUUUCCCCUUCCCAACGUGAGGGUUUCUUCCCGGCCUAGGCUUCGCGCGCUCUAAUGCUAGCAUGUUACGAUUGUUUAUGCAUUAUACCACCUUAUCGUAGCCAUUUGUGUCUAGACACGCCGACAACAAUGUCGUCAAUGAUUAUCUCUUCUCCCUCUCUCUGUUUCAGAUUUGUAUUUGGGUGGAAAUGAUUGGGGAAGAUGAAACGUGAAUGUUUGGGGUUGUUUGGGUAUCUAAUCUUUGAUUUUAUGCAGGUGAGAUGAAGGUGAAAACUUGAAGAUGAAAUUCACUCUAUCAACCACGGCUUUGCUCCCUUCUCGUUGUAAAAUCCCCCUCAAUGUGUUCUUUCUGAAUGUGUAAUCCUCUGAUCUCGUGGGUGGAGAAUUAAAGAAGUUUCUUUUCGUUUAUUUUGUUGGUGUGGUUUUCCUGAAUCUUAGUUUUUUCCUUUAUUA